AGACGGGAAUGAUUAGGAGGUGUGGCCUUGUUGGAGGAACAGGUGCCCUGUCACAGCACAGAACCUACCAUGUGCCACGUCAGCAGUCAGCACUUGAGCGCAACCUUCUGAAGACGGCGCACAGCCAACAGAAUCUCCUCAAGGAACACCGGAGACCAACCACAGGCUGGCUUUCAAGCUGCUUUCAUCUCUGGCUUAUCUGUGUGCUGACCUGCUUCCCAAGGCUCCCUCCACUGGGUCCCAGCAAUUGGCAGCACUUGGCCCAGGGUUAUAGGAGAGAACAAAGCCAGCCAAAGUGCUGCCCUGGGAAGUGUACAACACAACAAGAAA
rnacentral:lncRNA from 1 species